CGGUAAUUCCAGCUCCAAUAGCGUAUACUAAAGUUGUUGUAGUUAAAAAGCUCGUAGUUGGAUUUCUGCGGGGACGGAGCGGCCGGUCGCAACUUGCGACUCGAGCUAGCGCUUUCCCCGCAUCCUGCCGCGAACCGUGCUACCAUUAGCUUGGUGGCGCUGGGGAUCGGCUCGAUUACUUUGAGAAAAAUAGAGUGUUCAAAGCAGGCCACACGCCUUGAAUAAGUUAGCAUGGAAUAAUGACUAAGGACUUCGGUUCUAUUUUGUUGGUGUUCGGGACUGAAGUAAUGAUUGAUAGGGACAGUUGGGGCGGUCUGUAUUCCAAAGCGAGAGGUGAAAUUCUUAGACCUUCGGAAGACAAACAGCUGCGAAAGCGUUCCGCAAGGAUGUUCCCUUUGAUCAAGAACGAAAGUUGGGGGAUCGAAGACGAUCAGAUACCGUCGUAGUCUCAACUAUAAACUAUACCAGCUAGGGAUCGGUCAACGUUUAAUCAUUCGACUUGAUCGGCACCUUAUGAGAAAUCAAAGCAUCUGGGUUCCGGGGGGAGUAUGGUCGCAAGGCUGAAACUUAAAGGAAUUGACGGAAGGGCACCACCAGCCGUGGAGCCUGUGGCUUAAUUUGACUCAACACGGGAAAACUUACCAGGUCCAGACAUAGUAAGGAUUGACAGAUUGAUAGCUCUUUCUUGAUUCUGUGGGUGGUGGUGCAUGGCCGUUCUUAGUUGGUGGAGUGAUUUGUCUGGUUAAUUCCGUUAACGAACGAGACCCCAGCCUGCUAAAUAGCGCGGCUGAGCUUUGCUCGGUGCGAGCUUCUUAGAGGGACUAUGAUGCGCGAUAGCACAUGGAAGUUUGGGGCAAUACCAGGUCUGUGAUGCCCUUAGAUGUUCUGGUCCGCACACGGGCUACACUGGCGCCUGCAACGAGCAUAUCAGCUGGCCCGAGAGGGUCUUGGCUAAUCUUUUGAACCGGCGCCGUGCUUGGGAUUGACCAUUGCAAUUGUUGGUCAUGCAACGAGGAAUGCCUUGUAAACGCGAGUCAUCAGCUCGCAUUGAAUACGUCCCUGCCCUUUGUACACACCGCCCGUCGCUCCUACCGAUGAAUGUUCCGAUGAAAUUUUCGGAGAGCGCCAGAGAACGGGGCUCCGCCUUGCAGAUCUGGAGGCUCAAAGUCACUUAAAUCUGAACAUUUCGAGGAAGGAGAAGUCGUAACAAGGUAACC
rnacentral:rRNA from 1 species